rnacentral:rRNA from 1 species
UACGUAGGUGGCAAGCGUUGUCCGGAAUUAUUGGGCGUAAAGCGCGCGCAGGCGGUCUUUUAAGUCUGAUGUGAAAGCCCACGGCUCAACCGUGGAGGGUCAUUGGAAACUGGGGGACUUGAGUGCAGGAGAGAAGAGUGGAAUUCCACGUGUAGCGGUGAAAUGCGUAGAGAUGUGGAGGAACACCAGUGGCGAAGGCGACUCUUUGGCCUGUAACUGACGCUGAGGCGCGAAAGCGUGGGGAGCAAACAGG